GACAGAGGUGCCGAGCGUUAGGCGGAAUCACUGGGCUUAAAGCGUGUGUAGGCGGGCCGUUAAGUACCUUGUGAAAUCCCCCGGCUCAACCGGGGAACGGCUGGGUAUACUGGCGGCCUUGAGAGACUCAGGGGCGAGCGGAACAGGCGGUGGAGCGGUGAAAUGCGUAGAUAUCGCCUGGAACGCCGACGGUGAAAACAGCUCGCUGGGGGUCUUCUGACGCUGAGACACGAAAGCCAGGGGAGCGAACGGG
rnacentral:rRNA from 1 species